GGUCAUUUAAACUUACUGUAUAUGUCAAAUUCAUCAGAACAUCAUCAUCAGCUGAUGAGCAACAUCUUCAGUGCUGUGUGGAUCUACAGUUGGAUUCUAGAUGUGUUUAUGAAGUACUAUGAACACCAUAUUUGUACCAUCGUCAACUAAUGAGUAACGAACAUCAACAGUCAGAUUCCAGUGCUAAUUUCCAAGACUUUCUGAGACCAUGACGCAACUCAACAACAGCUCUGAUGUAUUCAACGCGUCACAUAAAAUGAACCAAACUGAUAAAAUAGAGAAUGCGGAAGCAGUGUUUAUCUGGAUUGUGAGCUUCUUUGGGAUUCCAAUCAUCUGCUUGACCCUGUUUGCAUUGUGUUUUCUCAUCAAGUCUCAUCGUGCUGCUUCUGUUUAUGUGAUACAUUUGAUUCUUUCAGAUCUGUUACAGAUUGGUUUUAUAAACGUAUUAACAACCGAAUUAGCGAGGGCUGCAUUGUGGAGUGCAUAUAAGUAUUGUUUGGUUGUUGGCUUGUUUUUCAUGGCAUUUAUUGCUAUUGAAAGAUACAUUUUAGUUUCCCAUCCUCACUGGUACAGAUCUCACCAUUCAGUAAAAAUGUCCUGUUUUAUUUCUUUAAUUAUCUGGUUAAUGCCUUUGACCUUUAUAAAAAUUAGAGAACAAGCUAUGUUUACCGUGUUAUCCCAAAGUCUGGCAUCUUUUAUUCCUUACCCAAUAAUACUCCUGUGUUUUGUUGGUACUUGGAGGGGUCUCUCUCAUGCAAAAUCACUUACUUCUCAAAAGCGGAAAUUAAUUUUGGGCAGUCUGUCUCUUGUGCUGCUGAAUUACACAUUUCUUAUCCUUCCUCUCUCAAUCUCAAGUUUGUGUUUGGAGUUUUUGAAUCCUCCACCUCCUACUGCUGUGAAUGUUUAUCUGUUUUGUCACUUUUUCUUGUAUCUCA